UACGUAGGGUGCGAGCGUUGUCCGGAAUUAUUGGGCGUAAAGGGCUCGUAGGCGGUUUGUCGCGUCGGGAGUGAAAUCCACUGGCUUAACUGGUGGCUUGCUUUCGAUACGGGCAGACUGGAGGUAUGCAGGGGAGGACGGAAUUCCUGGUGUAGCGGUGAAAUGCGCAGAUAUCAGGAGGAACACCGGUGGCGAAGGCGGUUCUCUGGGCAUGUCCUGACGCUGAGGAGCGAAAGCGUGGGGAGCGAACAGG
rnacentral:rRNA from 1 species